rnacentral:rRNA from 1 species
AGGACGAACGCUGGCGGCGUGCUUAACACAUGCAAGUCGAGCGGUGAUCCUCCUUCGGGAGGUGAUCAGCGGCGAACGGGUGAGUAACACGUGGGCAACCUGCCUCUCACACUGGGAUAACCUCGGGAAACCGGGGCUAAUACCGGAUACGACCUCGAGCGGCAUCUCUUGAGGUGGAAAGCUCCGACGGUGAGGGAUGGGCCCGCGGCCUAUCAGCUUGUUGGUGGGGUAAUGGCCUACCAAGGCGACGACGGGUA